GCCGAGGUGGCGAAAUGGCAUACGCGUACGAUUUAGGAUCGUAUGGGGUAAAACCCGUGGAGGUUCGAGUCCUCUCCUCGGCA
rnacentral:tRNA from 1 species